rnacentral:rRNA from 1 species
UACGUAGGGGGCAAGCGUUGUCCGGAAUCAUUGGGCGUAAAGGGCGCGUGAGGCGGUGCGGUAAGUCACCUGUGAAACCUCUAGGCUUAACCUAGAGCCUGCAGGCGAAACUGCCGUGCUUGAGGGUGGGAGAGGUGCGUGGAAUUCCCGGUGUAGCGGUGAAAUGCGUAGAUAUCGGGAAGGAACGCCUGUGGCGAAAGCGGCGCACUGGACCACAUCUGACGCUGGAGGCGCGAAAGCUAGGGGAGCAAACAGG